rnacentral:rRNA from 1 species
CAGUCGCCGCGGUAAUACGAAGGGGGCUAGCGUUGUUCGGAUUUACUAGGCGUAAAGGGCGCGUAGGCGGAUUUGUAAGUCAGGGGUGAAAUCCCAAGGCUCAACCUUGGAACUGCCUUUGAUACUGUGGAUCUUGAGUCCGGGAGAGGUGAGUGGAACUGCGAGUGUAGAGGUGAAAUUCGUAGAUAUUCGCAAGAACACCAGUGGCGAAGGCGGCUCACUGGCCCGGAACUGACGCUGAGGCGCGAAAGCGUGGGGAGCGAACAGGAUUAGAUACCCGCGUAGUCCCUGUCUCUUAUAA